rnacentral:lncRNA from 1 species
CUUCAGCAGAUCACCAUUGCUUUCAACUUUGGAAGGAGCAGGCCUUCUGGGGACACCCAAGACAUUCCUGGGCAGACAUCCCCAAAGAACAUUCAAGUCUGAGCCUCAAGGAGCCUCUGCGACUCGGUGUCUAGAUCCAGGAAAUGGAGAAUGAGCCGUGACUUUGGAUGCUUCACUCUUGUCCAUCAGGCUCGGAAUUGGUGAGCAUCUCCCACAUUACCGUCUCCAACGGAACAAGGUGCCCCAUUGGACAUUUCCUCUGCAUGGACCAGCCAUUCUCCAAAUCUGCCCCCAUGUCACCCCAGCUCCCCAUCGCAGUCACUUCUCACUCCUUGUCCCCUGUCCCCCUGAGUGACAGGACUUUUGCCAGUUAGGUCCUGUCCCUGUUUCUGAUCUUGGGUCCAUUCCCCAUGGUCCCUUUCUUGCUUGUGCCUUGGGAUCUCAGGCCUGUUGAAGUAGGAGGCAGGACUCAACUUCAGACCAGAUUGAAGACUGGCUGACACAGAAGAGGCACCAAAAGCACCUCUCUCUCCAUAAGACAUGCCCACCAGUGCCAUGACAGUUUACCAUUGCUAUGGCAAUGCCCAGAAGUUCUCACCCCUUUUCCAGACAUUUCUGCAUAAUCUACCCCUCAAUUGGCAUGUGAUCAAAAGUGGGUGUCAAAAUGACUGUGGAACUGUCCCUGAGCUGCUACUCUUGACAUGCUGGUUACAGGGUAGCCCGGCUCUGCAGGGACAGUCACGGAGCUGAAAAACUGCUGCCUAAUGAAGCUGUUUUCUUCUA